rnacentral:rRNA from 1 species
UACGUAUGUUGCAAGCGUUACUCGGAAUCACUGGGCGUAAAGCGUACGUAGGCGGACUAAUAAGUCAGAAGUGAAAUUUCAGGGCUCAACCUUGAAACUGCUUUUGAAACUGUUAGUCUUGAGUAUUAGAGGGGAAGAUGGAAUUCUUGGUGUAGCGGUGGAAUGCGUAGAUAUCAAGAAGAACACCGGUGGCGAAGGCGGUCUUCUGGCUAAAUACUGACGCUGAUGUACGAAAGCGUGGGGAGCGAACAGG